rnacentral:rRNA from 1 species
GACGAACGCUGGCGGCGUGCCUAACACAUGCAAGUCGAACGGGGCUCUUUGGAUCGAGACUUCGGUCAAGUGAAUCUGAGCUUAGUGGCGGACGGGUGAGUAACGCGUGAGCAACCUGCCUUACACAGGGGGAUAGCAGUUGGAAACGACUGGUAAUACCGCAUACCUUGCAUUAGUCGCAUGACCUAUGUAAGAAAGAUUUAUCGGUGUAAGAUGGACCCGCGUCUGAUUAGCUAGUUGGUACGGUAACGGCGUACCAAGGCGACGAUCAGUAGCCGGCCUGAGAGGGUGAACGGCCACAUUGGGACUGAGAUACGGCCCAG